rnacentral:rRNA from 1 species
UACGUAGGUGGCAAGCGUUGUCCGGAUUUACUGGGCGUAAAGCGAACGCAGGCGGACCUUUAAGUAGGAAGUGAAAGGUUGGAGCUCAACUCUAACACUGCUCCCUAUACUGGAGGUCUUGAGUAUCGGAGGGGAGAACGGAACAAGCUGUGUAGCGGUGAAAUGCGUAGAUAUCGAGAGGAACACCUGCGGCGAAGGCGGGUUGCUGGGCUGACACUGACGCUGAUGCGCGAAAGCUAGGGGAGCGAACGGG